rnacentral:rRNA from 1 species
UGAUGCAGCACACCCGCGUGAGUGAAUGAACGGGCUCUUUCCGGCUCUGUAAAACCUCUGUUCGUUGAAGAACAACGUGCGUGAGAGUAACUGUUCACGCCACUGACGGUAUUCAACCAGAAAGUCACGGCUAUAUACAUGCCAGCAGCCGCGGUA